UUCCUGUAGUAGAUGGAACCUCAGUUUCUGAAUUAUUUUGAAAUUAUCAAUGGACAAUUUUAGAAAUGUUUAUCAAUCAUGUCAGUACCUUGACCGACUACUGUGCUGGUGGUACCCUCGGGAACUAAUAGUCAACUAGCAGAGGUGUCAACCCAGUAAAGUAAAAAAAAAUAGAGAACUCGUUAUGCAUUUAAUGCGUCCGAAGCUCUUUUUUUUUGGGGGGGGGGGGGAGAUUAACAUUCAUCGGGAACACUCAUAGUCGAAUAUUCAAUGGCAAGAAUACAUAAGAACCGAAGCAGUAGAAGAGCUUUAUGACCAAUGAUACCACAAAAAAAGCCAAAUCCAAUCUAGGACAAACUUUUCGUGAGGGAGUUGAAACCUCAGUUUCUUCACAAUUUCAAAAUUUAUAAAUGGACAAUUUCAGACAUGAUUGUCAUUAAUCAUGUCUGUAACUAGUGCUUGCAUUGUAAAUGCAUUAAGUCUUUUUUUUACCUGUGAACAUUUUACAAAACAGAUAUCCCCCAAACUUACUACAAGGUAAAACUGAACCAAUUUUAGUUGUAAAUAUGUAGGUAUGUCUUUUAUUCAUAUUUACUGUAAAAGAAGUAUUCGAUAUAUAUUCGAACAAUU
rnacentral:lncRNA from 1 species